rnacentral:rRNA from 1 species
GACGAACGCUGGCGGCGUGCUUAACACAUGCAAGUCGAACGGAAAGGCCCUGCUUUUGUGGGGUGCUCGAGUGGCGAACGGGUGAGUAACACGUGAGUAACCUGCCCUUGACUUUGGGAUAACGUCAGGAAACUGGGGCUAAUACCGGAUAGGAGCUCCUGCUGCAUGGUGGGGGUUGGAAAGUUUCGGCGGUUGGGGAUGGACUCGCGGCUUAUCAGCUUGUUGGUGGGGUAGUGGCUUACCAAGGCUUUGACGGGUAGCCGGCCUGAGAGGGUGACCGGCCACAUUGGGACUGAGAUGCGGCCCAGACUCCUACGGGAGGCAGCAGUGGGGAAUAUUGCACAAUGGGCGGAGGCCUGAUGCAGCAACGCCGCGUGCGGGAUGACGGCCUUCGGGUUGUAAACCGCUUUCGCCUGUGACGAAGAGUGAGUGACGGUAAUGGGUAAAGAAGCACCGGCUAACUACGUG